rnacentral:rRNA from 1 species
CCGUAAGUUUUAAAGAACGCAGACAGUGGAUACCUUGGUGCAACCUACCGAAGAAGGACGUACAUGGUCGCGAAAGUCGUCGGGGAGCUGCCACGAAGCUUUGAUCCGGCGGUGUCCGAAUGGGGAAACCCACCGUUUUUACGGAAGCCUUUAUCCAAGUAUUCGCCUUCGGGCGAGUUAUUAAAUUAAGGCAGGGAACCUCCCAAACUGAAACAUCUAAGUAGGGAGAGGAAGAGAAAACAAUUGUGAUUGCCUAAGUAGCGGCGAGCGAAAUGGCAAAAAGCCUAAACCUCACUUUGCUCCGCAAGGAGCUUUGUGAGGGGUUGCGGGAUUCCGAUAUGGGAGUUUAAAAGGUAGCGGAACCAUCUGGAAUGGUGGUCCAAAGAGGGUGAAAGACCCGUACGCAAAACCGAUUAAACCUCUAGGAAUAUCCCAAGUACUACGGAGUAUACCUCUCUGUAGGAAUCUAGGGGAACCAUCCUCUAAGGCUAAAUAUGGGUUGCAACCGAUAGUGAACUAGUACCGCGAGGGAAAGGUUAAAAGAAGGGUGAGACACCCAGUGAAAUAGAACUUGAAACUGUUUGCGGACAAACCGAGAGAGCUUCCCGCAAGGGUAGUGAUCUCGUGCCUAUUGAAGAAUGAACCGGCGAGUUUCCGUUAUCUUUCUAGUCUAACCAGGUAACACUGGGAAGGCGUAGGGAAACCAAGUGCGAAUAGCGCGAUUAUGGAAAGGUGGCGGAAGACCCGAAACCGAGUGAGCUAACCAUGAACAGGGUGAACUUGGUCGAAAGACCGAGGGAGGCCCGAACCCGUGUAGGUUGCAAUCUGCUGGGACGAUUUGUGGUUAGAGGCAAAAUACCUAUCGAACUCGGAGAUAGCUGGUUCUCCCCGAAAGGUCUAUAGGGACCGUGGCCCGCGCACAUGCUUCUGGUAGAGCACCGAAUGGAUGGAAGAGGGUAACCAAUUUCAUUCAAUCGAACUCCGAAUAGAAGUGUUUAGGUGGGCUAGACAGUCACAUCGGGCUAAGCUGAUGUGGCGAGAGGGAAACAUCCCAGAUUUACAGCUAAGGCCUCUAAAUCUAUCUUAAGUUUAAAAGGAAGUUAACUUUCUCAGACAGCCAGGAGGUUGGCUCAGAAGCAGCCACCCUUUAAAGAAAGCGUAACAGCUCACUGGUCUAUUUGAAAGUUAGCGCCUAAGAUUUAUCGAGGAUUAAAGAUAGUGCCGAAGCUUAAAAUUUGCACCGCAAGGUGCAUCUGGUAGGGGAGCGUUCCAUGUGCAGUGAAGCUGACUUGUAAGAGUUGGUGGAGCGCAUGGAAGUGAGAAUGCCGGUAUGAGUAGCGCACAAGAGGGUCGCAAGGUUCGUCCACGACGGGUUAGUCGGUACCUAAGGCGAGGCCAUUAUGGCGUAGCCGAUGGAAGAGCAGUCAAAAUUCUGCUAUUUGUUUUGAAUCGCUAUAGUUGGGGGCUGACCGAAUUGGAUAGUCAGGGCUCAAUCGUGAGUUUGAGUGUAAGCUGUUAGGUAGGAUCAGUUGGUAAAUCCGCUGAGACGAUUAAUCGAGCAGUGAUACAGAGUCUUCCGGAAGGAGGGCAAUCCUGGUAAGUUCUAUUUGCAAGAAAAGGCUCGCAGCAAGAUUCAAGAUAAGCCGUACCGCAAACCGACACAGGUGGGUUGGUCGAGUAGACUAAGGUGAGCGAGAGAAGGAUGUUCAAGGAAUUCGGCAAAAAAACUACCCGUAAGGUCCCUGCAAAGGCGAAAGCCGCGGUAUAGGGGCCGACGCCUGCCCAGUGCUGGUAAGUUAAGGGGAGGGGUGCCCUUUGAGCAAUCAAGGGGAGGCUCUGAACUAAAGCUCCAGUAAACGGCAGCAGUAACUAUAACUGUGAACCGCAGAGCAGUUGUAAAAUCCGACUAUAUGCUGGAAAGUCUGAGAAUUCAGUACUAGUUGUUGACUUUGGGUUUUAUUCGGGUUAUACCGUAUCAAUGCUCAAUAGUCCAACUGAUAAUGUAUCUGAUGCAGAUUAUCAGCAGGAAAGAAUUCCAAAGAAUAAAGACAAUUUAGGACACUAUCUAUCAGGAUUUGCUGAUGGUGAAGGAUGUUUCUGUGUUCCAAUCAGUGGAAAGAGUAAUCCCUUUCUUUGAAAAAUAUCCCAUAAUUGGGAAGAAGUAUCAGGAAUUUAUUCGCUUCAGAGAGAUCGUCAAGAUGCUCGAAAGAAAAGAGCAUCGGACCACCCAAGGGUUCAAAAAAAUAGUGCAGAUCGCAUAUUCUAUGAACCAAAGGGGGAAGGGCCGGAAAUAUACCAUGCAACAAAUCUUUAGCACUUUGGAUUUAUCCUCAGAGACUACACGUCGGAAUACGAUUCCAUAAUCGUAGAAGAUAUAGUCCGAGCUAUCUGGCGACAGGUAGAGCUAGCUAGAAUAUUCGCUGAUGCUAGCGUUAAGAGAAGUCUUAAUUAACAGGUGUAGACCUAUAGUCUACGGUAGCGAAGUUCCUCAGACAGGGGACCACACAGUGAAAGUUGUGUUGGAAAACCUAGCUGUAUGCUGGAACAACUCAUGUAUCCGACAGUACCAAAAGUGGUAAAAAUCUGAUCGGUGGAGUCAAUCAGCAGGAAAGACCUCAAUUUAGAGGGAUCCUCAACGACUAUACGCUAGACCCCCGGAUAAAAAGGGGGAUGAUAUAGUCUGAGCUUCCUGGCGACAGGAAGACCUUGAGAGAAAUUUCAAGGCGCCACAUCUUUUUUGAUUGUGGUCACUCCAAUGAUUUGGAGUUAAGUAACAGAUCUGUGUCGGGUAAGUUCCGACCUGCACGAAUGGCGUCACGAGUUAGUAACUGUCUUGAACAUUCACUCGGCGAAAUUGCGUUGGCUGUGAAGACGCGGCCUAAUUCCACCAGGACAAAAAGACCCCGUGGAGCUUUACUGUAGUUUGGCAUUGAUUUGUGCAUUUUAAUUGUCUAGCGUAGGAGGGAGAGCAAUCGACAAUGUAACACCUCCCUUUGGAAUGUGGCAAAUCUUACCUGGCAGCUCUGCAAACGAGUUGAGGGAAAGUGCUAGAUGGGCAGUUUUACUGGGGCGGUACCCUGCUAAAUUGUAACGCAGGGGCACAAAGGUUGGCUUACCACGGAUGGAAAUCGUGGGGAAAGCGCAAAGGUUUAAGCCAGCUUGACUGCGAGGCCGAAGGGCCGAGCAGGUACGAAAGUAGGUCUUAGUGAUCCUCUGAUGCUUCGUGGGAGGCACAGAGCUUAACUGAUAAAAGCUACCCCGGGGAUAACAGAGUAGUCGCGCCCGAGAGUUCAUAUCGACGGCGCGGUUCGCUACCUCGAUGUCGGCUCAUCACAUCCUGGCGCUGGAGAAAACGUAAAUCUUCUCUCCCUAAUAGAAAUUUUAGGGUAAUAAACGAGCUCAAAACGGUGAAGGCCUUAAUUUACGAACAGUCCUGAGCCUUGCAAUUCUGCAGGUUCCAGGUAAAAUAAAUUAAGGUUAAUACCGUGGGAAGAAUGCUUUCUGAAGUUAAUAAGGCAUAUUUAGCGGGAUUAUUUGACGGUGAUGGGGCCAUUAUGGCUUUCAUCCAACGUCACGCUGAAAAGAAGUUUGGAUUUCGAAUUAGGGUUAUAGUCAAAAUCACCCAAAGAAAUCCUGAAAUUUUAGAGUGGGUGAGAAAAUCCACAUCAUUCGGAAGUGUAGUUCAAAAUAGAACUACAUACGAUUGGAUUGUGAGGGACCAAAAGGCGAUUAUUGCUUUACUAAAAUUACUAAUAAAAUAUUUUAGGGUAAAAAAGAAACAAGCGAGAAUUGCAAUCAGGAUUUUGGGGUCCCAGAUAAACACUCGAAAGGACUUGCUAAAGAUUGCUGAAUUAGCGGAUGCUUUGUCUGUAUUUAAUGUUCGCUCUCAAUUAAGGAGAAGGAACUUUGCAGCAAAGAUCAAAGAAAGUAUUCCCCGUAACGACUGAUUCCGUAAGGAUGAGAUAUCAAUUUGUGAUAUCACAAGGCUCGCACCUAAAAUCUAGUUGGUGACAACUAUGAAGAAUGGUGGUGGUAUAGUCUUACCCCUAAGGUAACUUAGGAAGGUUAGAGGUGCCAAGGGUUGGUCUGUUCGCCCAUUAAAGUGGUACGUGAGCUGGGUUCAGAACGUCGUGAGACAGUUGACUUUGGUGACAUAUCAAAGUGACAGUCCAAGCGGUCUCGCCCUUUAGACGUAUUGAAUAUACAUUGAGUGUGGAAUUAAAACUUUUUGUCCAAAUUAAAUUAAGAAUGAAGGGAUAUAAAUCUGGCUAUAUGCUGGAAAAUCUCGAUAAAUGUUUGACUACGAGGGAACUAUUAAGUUUCUAGUAAAAAUGUCAAACCUGAGAUUAUCAGCAGGAAAGGCCCCAUUAGAUAUUAAAUUAUCUUGUGGGGAAUCCUCACAGGCCAUACGCCAGAGACCGUUUUAACGGUCAAGAUAUGGUCGGACCCCACGAGCGAUCGUGGGAGCUAGCAAGAAUAUAAAUUAGCUAGCCAUUUGUAACAAUUAUGUCGGACUCUAUCCGGUGGAAUCGUUGAGUCUUGAAGGGAGCUCUCCUCAGUACGAGAGGACCAGGAGGGGGGAACCUCUGGUGUGCCGGUUGUUACGUCAGUAGCAACGCCGGGUAGCUAUGUUCCUAAGGGAUAACCGCUGAAAGCAUCUAAGUGGGAAGCCCACCUUAAGAUUAGGACUCAUUAUCAGACCCCCGAGACAAGAUCGGGUAUAUUCGGCAGGCAGUGGAAGCGUCGUAAGACGUUAAGCUUACCUUGCACGAAUCGGUCGAGAGACUUACGGAC